rnacentral:rRNA from 1 species
UAAUACGUAGGGCGCAAGCGUUGUCCGGAAUUAUUGGGCGUAAAGAGCUUGUAGGUGGCUUGUCGCGUCUGCCGUGAAAACCCGAGGCUCAACCUCGGGCGUGCGGUGGGUACGGGCAGGCUAGAGUGUGGUAGGGGAGACUGGAACUCCUGGUGUAGCGGUGAAAUGCGCAGAUAUCAGGAAGAACACCGAUGGCGAAGGCAGGUCUCUGGGCCAUUACUGACACUGAGAAGCGAAAGCAUGGGUAGCGAACAGGAUUAGAUACCCUGGUAGUCCAUGCCGUAAACGUUGGGCACUAGGUGUGGGGGACAUUCCACGUUUUCCGCGCCGUAGCUAACGCAUUAAGUGCCCCGCCUGGGGAGUACGGCCGCAAGGCUA